UACGUAGGGUGCGAGCGUUAAUCGGAAUUACUGGGCGUAAAGCGUGCGCAGGCGGUUUUGCAAGCCGGAUGUGAAAUCCCCGGGCUUAACCUGGGAAUGGCAUUUGGGACUGCAAGGCUGGAGUGCGGCAGAGGAGACUGGAAUUCCUGGUGUAGCAGUGAAAUGCGUAGAUAUCAGGAGGAACACCGAUGGCGAAGGCAGCCCCCUGGGUCAAAACUGACGCUCAUGCACGAAAGCGUGGGGAGCAAACAGG
rnacentral:rRNA from 1 species